rnacentral:rRNA from 1 species
UGCCGCGUGUGUGAAGAAGGCCUUAUGGUUGUAAAGCACUUUAAGCGAGGAGGAGGCUCCUGUAGUUAAUACCUACAGUGAGUGGACGUUACUCGCAGAAUAAGCACCGGCUAACUCUGUGCCAGCAGCCGCGGUAAUACAGAGGGUGCGAGCGUUAAUCGGAUUUACUGGGCGUAAAGCGUGCGUAGGCGGCUUUUUAAGUCGGAUGUGAAAUCCCCGAGCUUAACUUGGGAAUUGCAUUCGAUACUGGGAAGCUAGAGUAUGGGAGAGGAUGGUAGAAUUCCAGGUGUAGCGGUGAAAUGCGUAGAGAUCUGGAGGAAUACCGAUGGCGAAGGCAGCCAUCUGGCCUAAUACUGACGCUGAGGUACGAAAGCAUGGGGAGCAAACAGGAUUAGAUACCCUGGUAGUCCAUGCCGUAAACGAUGUCUACUAGCCGUUGGGGCCUUUGAGGCUUUAGUGGCGCAGCUAACGCGAUAAGUAGACCGCC